CUUUUGCUUUCUUUUUCCUGCCCCGGGCCUCGCUCUCGCGCACGGGACCACAAUGCUCCGCGCCGCUUGUCAUUUGGAGGCGCCCAAAGAAUUCAGCCAGAGGAACAUGAACCACAGACGUUCAUCACCCUUCCCAGGACCGAGUUCAUUUUCAGCAGCCCAGGUGGGAUGACCAGAAAUGAAUAUCCGUGCUGGACUCCUUGGAUCUCCUGGAGGAUUUGGCAUAACCGGGGCACAGCCUUCUUCGCUCGACCAGGCUUAGUUGGAGUGACAGAUUUAAAAAACAGUGAGGGAGAUUGGUUCAAGAUGGCGGAGUAGAAGGACGUGCUCUCACUCCCUCUUGCGAGAACACUGGAAUCACAACUACCUGCUGAACAAUCAUCAACGGGAAGACACUGGAACUCACCAAAAAAGAUACCACACAUCCAAAGACAAAGGAGAAGCCACAAUGAGAUGCUGGCAAGUAGAUAGAGAGCCCUAGAAGAAAGACAACAAUGAUGAAACAGUUGAAUGUUAAAGACGGUGAAAAAGUGCCUCAAAAUUUUUCUUAUCUUUUGUUUUUUAUUCAGUUUUCCUUUAAAAAAGUCAAAGCACUUCACAGACAUCGUCCUCAUUAAUUUUCACAGUCCUUUAGUGUCAGAAACAGACAAAACAAUCUUAUAUCCACUGAAUAGACAGAGUUAGGGGGAAAGAAGGGCUAUGGCCAAAGGAACUGCCCAGAUUCAGAAGUCUGGAUAAAAAGCUGACAUUUGUUAUUCUAAAUCACCAUCUCACAUGUGACCCUGCCUUCAAUCACAAGUCCCUCAAGAGUUUGAGAUCCUGAGACCAGAGUCUGUUUGUUAAACACUAAGAGGGCACCACUCGUAUGCCAGGAGCUGUUCCAAAUGCUUUCCAGAUAAAACUCGGUUAGUAUUCAUAUCAAGCCUAUGAAGUGGGUGUGAUUAUUAUUUCCAUUUUCCGGAGGAGGAAGCUGAGGCACUGAGAUAUGAAGGACUUGCCCAAGUGGAACCCGGGUUUGAAGACUACACAUCGGGCUCCAUGGUCUUAACCAUUGCACUCUGUUG